GAUGAACGCUGGCGGCGUGCCUAAUACAUGCAAGUCGAGCGAACAGACGAGGAGCUUGCUCCUCUGACGUUAGCGGCGGACGGGUGAGUAACACGUGGAUAACCUACCUAUAAGACUGGGAUAACUUCGGGAAACCGGAGCUAAUACCGGAUAAUAUAUUGAACCGCAUGGUUCAAUAGUGAAAGACGGGUUUGCUGUCACUUAUAGAUGGAUCCGCGCCGCAUUAGCUAGUUGGUAAGGUAACGGCUUACCAAGGCAACGAUGCGUAGCCGCCAUGAGAGGGUGAUCGGCCACACUGGAACUGAGACACGGUCCAGACGCCUACGGGAGGCAGCAGUAGGGAAUCUUCCGCAAUGGGCGAAAGCCUGACGGAGCAACGCCGAGUGAGUGAUGAAGGUCUUCGGAUCGUAAAACUCUGAUAUUAGGGAAGAACAAAUGUGUAAGUAACUAUGCACGUCUUGACGGUACCUAAUCAGAAAGCCACGGCUAACUCCGUG
rnacentral:rRNA from 1 species